rnacentral:lncRNA from 1 species
CUAAGUUCUUGUAUUUUUAGUAGAGACAGGGUUUCACCGUGUUAGCCAGGAUGGUCUCGAUCUCCUGACCUCGUGAUCUGCCCACCUUGGCCUCCCAAAGUGCUGGGAUUACAGGCACCAGUUGCAUGUUUACAGCACAUCUCAUUUCAGGCUUAUCACCUCCCAACUGCUCACCUGUGGCUCAUGGCCACUGCACAGGCUGGGCAGCUGUGGACUGUGCAGCUCCCCGUCCAGGAAUGGAGAUUAUCAGGAGUCAGCCUAAGUCCUAUCAUUUUUCUCUUCUAUCUUAUCACUAUCUCUUCUUGGAGGGCCUCGGAUGUGUCUGGCCACUUCCUGCCAGGGCCAUUCCCUGAUGCUGCCAACCUUUCCCAGAAAAGGAGUGGCUCCUAGAAAGACAAGGCCUACCGAGAAAUGCAGAGGGGCAGGAAGUGAGCCAUUUCGAGGGCACUCCUGUGUCACCCUGUGCUGUUGGAGUCGCCGAGGAUACAGUGUACAGGUAGCGGGAUAGCCGGUUGCCAGCACAGGCUGGGUUGAGAAACCUCCAAGGUUGACACUGCUGUUCAGGUGAAGGAGAGUUCAGAGUCUCAGAGAGCAGCAGCAGCUUGUGCUUCUGGGAAAAUGGAAGGAUGACUCCCAGGCAGCCGAUCCUGCCACUCCGUAAAAUGGAAGAACCUUGGCUCCCCGUGUGAAUUCUCUUUGUGAUUUGGAAGACAAAUACCUCUGCUGAGUUGUCUAUGAACAGGAUGGUAUCCCCUCAAGCAUUACUGGCCUUGUUCCACUAUGUCAAAUGUAUGCAGCAGAGAAAGGGGAUACACCAGCAGCUGGAGUGGCUGAGCGGAAGGAAGGACACUAGAACAUAUUAAUCCCAUUUUAAGCAACAGGCACUGUGUUAAGUGAUUUCAGAUACAAUACCACAUUUAAUCCUCAUAACAAGCUUGCAAGGAGAACAUUGUCACGACUGUAUUCAUACAUGAAGAAACUGAGGCUCGGAGACAUUAAGAUUUGAGCCAGGAUCUGUGUUCUUCCAAAGCCCAUGGGUCAGAAAUGCCAGCUGAUUCUGGUUCCAGCUAGAACUACCAGACAUCUUAGGCCAGGUCUCAGGAAUCCUUGAGGCAAAAAUCUGCAUAACAUUGAGGCCAAAGAUGAGCCUAAUGGAGUUGGACCUACCCAUUUAGUGGUAGACUUCUUUAUUGGCAAAAUAUUCUGUCAAGAUCUCCCCUGAUGGACAAGUCAAAAUUCUUUCCAACAUAACAAAGACCUAUUGUCAUCAUGGGAAUGCUGCGAUCUUGCUCUUUCAGCUCAAAAAUCUACUUUCUGGAACCAGGUCAUGGACUUGCAGGACUUUCCAUCUACAAUUUUGUUUAGGGAAUUGAGAUCAGAUGAACAGGGCCGAGGAAGCUGUAGGCAGACAGAAUUAGUGAUAAUUCUUUCCCACAAUACUGCACUCCAUUCUUCUAACAUACCUCAAGUGCAUGCCCUCGGCCAAAACAGAUCUGGCAAGAGGAAGAUUAACAAUGAUGACAAAAAUAGUUCCUGACUUGAUAAAACAAAUAUCAACUGGGACAAGAACAAGAACUGCCCAUAAACCAACCUUGGGAUCUAACAUGUUCUUCAUUAGGACAGGAUUGCACCAUCUUAAGUAUGUCACCUCAUGCUAACUCUGAAGUUAGACCUUAAACCACUGCCCUUGAACUUAGUCAAUAUUUGCAAACUGUGAAAAAAAGAGGAUACAGAUCAGCAUGAGGGGUAAAUGUAAGAUAUUCUGAAAUAACUUUUUUUUUUUUCGUUUUUCUCUAAGCUCCUAAGUCUCUAUUUGUUGAUCUUUCAGAACCAACCUUUGGAGACUAGGUUACUUAGGCAGAUGUUUCAUGUAAUAUUGUGUGCAUUGGGAGGGUGGGGUGGUGGUAAAUUUUCAUUGAAUAAAACAUGGCUUUGUCUGGGUCUGGGCUGCCUAAUUUCCUCUCAAGAUAAAGAUGAGCUCAUUUGAGCCUAUCCGUCUCCAGAUCAGUAAACACU